UUUUCGCUUUUGUUUUAAAAUACCACGAGAUCAACGGGGUCAAUGCCAAGGCCGAAGAGACAACUUAAACGGGCGGCUGCCCGUGAUACUCAAGACCCAGGACAAGCACGCAGGCCAGGACGGCGCAGGGCUCAACGCCAACAGACCAACAAUAACGAACAAGAUGUCCAGGCUCAACUGGCACCCCCUCAGCCCCAGGCAGUCCAACUACCCCAGGCAGCCCCACAGCAUCAGGCAGCACUGUUACAACAGGCAGCCCCACCACAGCAAGCCCAGGAUCAGGCGGGUAAUGUGAUUUUUAACCCCCCUGUAGCAACAUUACAACAAUCCACCACUCUAAUGCCCGGCCUCAUUUCGCCUGUCAAUUCUAGUCUCACAUCUACAUGUACAGAUACAGGGAUAACUUCCAUUAUCACCUCAACCCAUCAGCCUACUCCUGAACCAAUCAACUCUAUUACAGUUCCCAUUGGGUAUCAUGUAAACCAACCAAUUAAGCAAAAAAUCAUCAAGGGCGAAUUUGUCAAUCUGGGAACAUUAUUGUCCGCAACAACUCUUAUGCCACAUUCAGGUAUCAGACACCAGCACACCAAACACGCACCAACCAACAUUGGGCAGGAAACGCUCGUCAACCCCAGAGACAUUUGGGUCCUAGGCCCUAUUCCAGACAUUACUCUCACAAGUCACAUCCAAUCAUUGUUCAACGCUUCAGUUGCUGUAAACACUAGGCAAACACACACAGCAGGCAUCAAUUCAUUUGAAACAUUUCGCCGGUCUCAUAACCUACCCAGUCUGUGGCCACCUCUCGACACUCACAUUACAAGGUUUAUCGCUUACCUGUCACUUUCAGGUUACAAAUACUCCACAGCUCAGUCAUACAUUGCAGCCAUCAGUUUUUACAGCAAAGCAAUUUACAAUGUAGAUCCUACUAAUCAUUUUAUUAUAAGAAAGCUACUUCAGGGCAUGCAAAGAACAACACUACACAAGGACACUCGUUUGCCUAUUACAUUACAGCUCCUAAACAAAAUUAUACCAACAUUGCAAACCGUAUGCAACACCAUAUACGAAACCAAACUAUUCACUGCAGCUUUCACUUUAGCAUUUCACGCCCUCUUGCGCAUAGGGGAAUUCACAGUGUCUAAAGGCAACACACCAGCAACUAUCAUCCAAUUUCAUGACAUAACAAUGCAGCAGACCAACAUUCAAUUGACAAUUUGUCAUUCAAAAACAGACCAAUUAGGUGUGGGGGCAAACUUGCAGAUUCCUGCUUCAAAUGGUGUUGCUUGUCCUUUCGCCGCCAUGCAUGCCUACUUACACAUGCGCACAUCUCAAACUGGCCCAUUGUUUAUUCAUUUUGAAGGUCAACCAUUGACCCGUUAUCAAUUUAUCACCAUACUGAAGCGUUGUCUUAAUGCAAUAGGGGUUGAUAGCUCCAAUUAUAAUUCCCACUCAUUUAGAAUAGGUGCAGCUACAACCCUUGCUAUUCAAGGCGUUCACAGUGACGUCAUCCAAGGGUCAGGACGAUGGCGCUCUAAUGCAUUUCGUACAUACAUUCGGUAACCUUAUCAUUCCAACAGUAUCUAUCUUACUAACCAUAAACAAGAUAAUUCUAGGUCCUGUCAGAGUUUGGAUUGUCGGAUCUUCUAUCAUCAAACGAGCAGCUAUGAGUGCAGUAUCAAGACAGGGGGGGGCUUAAUCUUAAUCUCGAGAAUACUUCAGUCUUAUGGCAGGGAUAUAGUGGCAUGAAGCUACAAGACCUUAAUACUAGGCUAUCAACAUUGCUAAGGUUAGAAUAUCGUCCUGAGUUUCUCAUCAUUCAUUGCGGAGCAAACAAUGUUGGCCAGAAAACCACUGAAGAGCUGCUGGAGCUCCUUUCCACAACCUUGUCACGAAUUUGUGACAUGUUCCCUACCACAACGAUAGUUUGGUCCUCUGCCCUGCCUAGAUUAGCUUGGCGCUUUUCAGACAAUGUUAAAGCAAUGAAUGAAAUAAGGGGUCGAAUGAAUAGAGAAGCGAUAAAAUUUGUAACAUCCAGGGGCGGUCAUUACAUCAAAUACCCUCAGUUUUCCCAAAAACCAC
rnacentral:sRNA from 1 species